rnacentral:rRNA from 1 species
ACGUAGGGGGCGAGCGUUGUCCGGAGUUACUGGGCGUAAAGGGCAUGCAGGCGGUCGUACGCGUUUUGUGUGACAGCGGGUGGCUUAACUACCCGAGUAUGCGAAAGACGGUAUGACUUGAGGGCUCGAGAGGGACACGGAAUUCCGGGUGGAGUGGUGAAAUGCGUAGAGAUCCGGAGGAACACCGAAGGCGAAGGCAGUGUCCUGGCGAGUGACUGACGCUGAGGUGCGAAAGCUAGGGGAGCGAACGGGAUUAGAUACCCCGGUAGUCCUAGCCGUAAACGAUGACCACCAGGUGUGGGAGGUAUCGACCCCUUCCGUGCCGGAGUUAACACACUAAGUGGUCCGCCUGGGGAGUACGGUCGCAAGAUUA